CGACCUCAGAUUAGGUGGGAUUCCCCGCUGAAUUUAAGCAUAUUAGUAAGCGGUGGAAAAGAAACCAACAGGGAUUCCCUUAGUAGCUGCGAGUGAACAGGGAUUAGCCCAGCACUGAAUCCCAAAAGCAUUGCUUUUAGGGAAAUGUAGUGUUUGGGAGGGCUCAAUUAACCCCAAGAUAUGUGCAUUUCGCCCAAGUCCAUCUUGAACGAGGCCACGGUCCCGAGAGGGUGCCAGGCCCGUUGUUGGCAAAUGUCUAUUUCGGGUGGGCCUCUCCUUAGAGUCGGGUUGCUUGAGAGUGCAGCCCUAAGUAGUGGUAAACUCCAUCUAAGGCUAAAUACAACCACGAGACCGAUAGCGAACAAGUAACGUGAGGGAAAGUUGAAAAGAACUUUGAAGAGAGAGUUCAGAGUACGUGAAAUCCGCUCAAGGGUAAACGGAAAAGACCUGAAU
rnacentral:ncRNA from 1 species